rnacentral:rRNA from 1 species
AUACGGAGGGUGCAAGCGUUGUUCGGAAUUAUUGGGCGUAAAGCGCGUGUAGGCGGUCUGUUAAGUCUGGUGUGAAAGCCCUGGGCUCAACCCAGGAAGUGCAUUGGAUACUGGCAGACUUGAGUAUGGGAGAGGAAAGCGGAAUUCCGAGUGUAGGAGUGAAAUCCGUAGAUAUUCGGAGGAACACCAGUGGCGAAGGCGGCUUUCUGGACCAAUACCGACGCUGAGACGCGAAAGCGUGGGGAGCAAACAGGAUUAGAAACCCCAGUAGUCC